CCUACGGGGGGCAGCAGUGAGGAAUAUUGGUCAAUGGGCGCUAGCCUGAACCAGCCAAGUAGCGUGAAGGAUGACUGCCCUACGGGUUGUAAACUUCUUUUAUAUGGGAAUAAAGUGCAGCACGUGUACCGUUUUGUAUGUACCUUAUGAAUAAGGAUCGGCUAACUCCGUGCCAGCAGCCGCGGUAAUACGGAGGAUCCGAGCGUUAUCCGGAUUUAUUGGGUUUAAAGGGAGCGUAGGUGGGUUGUUAAGUCAGUUGUGAAAGUUUGCGGCUCAACCGUAAAAUUGCAGUUGAUACUGGCAGUCUUGAGUACAGUAGAGGUAGGCGGAAUUCGUGGUGUAGCGGUGAAAUGCUUAGAUAUCACGAAGAACUCCGAUUGCGAAGGCAGCCUACUGGACUGCAACUGACGCUGAUGCUCGAAAGUGUGGGUAUCAAACAGGAUUAGAUACCCGGGUAGUC
rnacentral:rRNA from 1 species